rnacentral:rRNA from 1 species
CUUAAGAUUCGGCUGUUCCGUGCCCGUUUAACGCGUGGACAACCCACCUCUGAGUGGGGAAUAACCAUUCGAAAGGAUGGCUAAUACCGCAUAAGGCGGGUUUACCGAUGGUAGAUUCGUUAAAGGAGCAAUUCGCUUGGAGAGGGGUCUGCGUCUGAUUAGGUAGUUGGCGGGGUAACGGCCCACCAAGCCUGCGAUCAGUAGCUGGUCUGAGAGGACGGCCAGCCACAAUGGCACUGACAGACGGGCCAUACUCCUACGGGAGGCAGCAGUGGGGAAUUUUGCGCAGUGGGCGGAAGCCUGACGCAGCAACGCCGCGUGAAGGGUGAAGUCUUUUCGGGAUGUAAACUUCGCAAGUCUGGGAAGAAGCAAUGACGGUACCAGAAGUAAAGCCCCGGGCUAACUCCGUGCCAGCAGCCGCGGUAAUACGUAGGGUGCAAGCGUUGUCCGGAAUUAUUGGGCGUAAAGAGCUCGUAGGCGGUUUGCCACGUCUGCUGUGAAAUCCCGAGGCUCAACCUCGGGCCUGCAGUGGGUACGGGCAGACUAGAGUGUGGUAGGGGAGACUGGAAUUCCUGGUGUAGCGGUGGAAUGCGCAGAUAUCAGGAGGAACACCGAUGGCGAAGGCAGGUCUCUGGGCCACUACUGACGCUGAGGAGCGAAAGCAUGGGGAGCGAACAGGAUUAGAUACCCUGGUAGUCCAUGCCGUAAACGUUGGGCACUAGGUGUGGGGCUCGUUCCACGAGUUCCGUGCCGCAGCUAACGCAUUAAGUGCCCCGCCUGGGGAGUACGGCCGCAAGGCUAAAACUCAAAGGAAUUGACGGGGGCCCGCACAAGCGGCGGAGCAUGCUGAUUAAUUCGAUGCAACGCGAAGAACCUUACCAAGGCUUGACAUAUACCGAAAACUCAUGGAGACAUGAGGUCCGCAAGGGCGGUAUACAGGUGGUGCAUGGUUGUCGUCAGCUCGUGUCGUAAGAUGUUGGGUUAAGUCCCACACAAGGAGCGCAACCCUCGUUUCUAGUUGCCAUCAUUUAGUUGGGCGUUCUGGAGAGACUGCCGGUGACAAACCGGAGGAAGGUGGGGAUGACGUCAAGUCAGCAUGCCCCUUACGUCCUGGGCUACACACGUACUACAAUGCUACGGACAAAGGGCAGCGAGCUAGCGAUAGCAAGCUAAUCCCAUAAACCGGGGCUCAGUUCAGAUUGCAGGCUGGAACUCGCCUGCAUGAAGGCGGGUCGCUAGAAUCGCAGGUCAGCAUACUGCGGUGAAUACGUUCCCGGGCCUUUACAUCCGCCCGUCACACCAUGGGAGUUGGCCACGCCCGAAGUCGUUACUCCAACCUUCGAGGAGGAGGACCCCGAAGGCCACGGGG